UUGACUGGAGAACUUUGAUGUCUUUGACCGAGUUUGACUGAAGAAUCCCAAGCUGUCCUCACUUGUCAGCUUUCUUCCUAAAUUUGUGGAUCUAGUCGGCUGUUUUUUGAGUUGGAGCUGCUUUUAGAGAGCUAGGUCUGAAGGCAUGCUCUUCUUCAAUCUUGAAAGCUCUCUCUUUCUCCUUGGAAGAAGUCUAAAGCUUGGAUUUUGGAGGAAGGAUCUCUUCACCGGCAAGCUUAGAGGAGAAGAUUAAGCCUAGGAUCGGGGUUUAUCUUGGAGUCGUCUUCCUAUCUUUGGUUGUAGACCUUAUAGUGAACUUUUCUGUGUGAGUAAGACUUGUAUCUUGUCUGUAUCUUUGGUUUGUAAACUGUAUGUGUGGCACUGUUUUCUGUAGGGAUGCUAAAACCCAUAUUUGUAUUAACUCUAUUACUGUUGUUCUAUUUGUAGUUCUGUA